CUUGUGUCUUUAGAGAACUGUUUCACUUUGAUAUCCUUUUUCUUCUGUCCUGAUUUUCUCUUUCUUUUCUUCUGUUAACUAGAUAUUCUUUGUUGUUCUUCGUUAGCUAGCUAGCUUCUUCCAAAAGAGUCCCUAGCAACUGCUUAGCAACUGGUAAACAAUUCAGCUAGCUAAGAUAACUACAAUUUUAUGAAAAAUUGUUAUUUUUCAAAAGCCUAUCUUCUUUGUUUGUUAUCUCAGUUAGUAUUCAGAAAGGCCUAAAUGUAACUUAGUGAAGGGGAAUCUCAAAUCCGCAGAGAGAGUGGACCUACACAGGGGGUAAGGAGGGAGCUGGUAAGUCCUGUAACUAAGAGACAUAUUGGUAACACCUGACCACUAAAACACUGAUGAUGAGAAACAUUGGUGAGCAGUAGCUCGUUGGAUUGGUUGGCUGAUGGGAAAACGCCCUUUUCCAUGGUACUUAUCAACAUACACAGCAACAACACCCUCUGGAGACAUCCAAAACCAAUUAAAGUUUGUUUUGACAGAUCGCUAUCCACGAUAGGUCUCCAAUAAUGAUGUGAUGUCAACAAAUUACGCAUUCACUUUCAUGGCAAUAUGGGUGAACUGUGGAAAUUCUUGUGGACUUCAGAACUGUUCUCGCCAUCUGAAUGUGCGUCCUGGCCGUUCUGUCUGUAUGGUUGGGAACCUCUCCUGAAGUCUCGGGUUUUGCCGCCAUGUGUUUCCAUUUACCUGGGUUACCUCGGAGCGUGACGUUCCCACCACAGUUAUUACCCAGCGCCCUGUGCAGUCACUCCGUGGGGGGGCGCUUCUUCUGUGAAGUUAAUGCAAUAGCCAUCCACCUUGAGACCCUUACUGUCACAGACAACUAGUCGGUCUCAGAGACCUUCUUAGUCCAGCUGGGCUCUCAGACUAGACGUUAUAGUAGAGAUACAGCAUAUUUGACAGACAGAGACGCUGUACAAAGAAAAACAUAUUGGCAUGCUCUUGAUACGAAUGUAGGGUUCAUGUGGGAAUGUGCUCCACGAAUCCCAAACUUACAGCAAAAUGACAGAAAUGGAGGGUUAAACUGAAACUCAUCCAAAACAGACAUUUCACUCCAUUUUCGCCAUUGGGGAUUUGACAGUACUGGCAGUGGAGUUGGUCGUUGAAUAUUGCCCGUCUCAGGCAUAUUGGACAGGCCUUGGGUGUCAGUGUAUUCUCAUACUCCAUAUAUCAGAUGAUUAAGUUAUCCCUCACGUCUGCUGGGAUGACUGAGUGUUUGAUAAACUUCAAACACGUUGUGUUUACUCAACCCAACCAAACCGGCGGAAAAUAUUGCCUCAGUCGGAGGCUUAGCCAAUCCAUAAACUGUGGGUUUGUGUUGGUAGUAACCAGUGCCUGGAGGUCGGGUCCAACCAUAACUUCUGCCUCCUGCUCUCCACAGAAGCUUCUUAUUUCAUACCGAGACGGGUGUCUUCGUCCUAUCCUCUCGUCCGCAGGGAGAGCAAGAAGACAAAUAUUUUCUUUCAGGAGCGUCGCUCUGUUACCUGAGAGUUUCAUAAAUCCAGCACGUCUAUUUCCUGGAACUGUUGAGUGUCUUUCCAUCCCUUUGCCCCUCCGCCCCACCCUCUAGACCCUUCUCUCAGCCAGUGUUUAGGCCUGGAGCAGGUGCCCCUCCCUUGGGCAGCCUGCUCAGGAAAGGCCCCUGCUGUGCAGACGAGACUGGGCCGCAGCCCGGGCCAAGCUCAUGCUGUGAGGGGUAUAAGAGGCUCCCUUCUAUCCAGACACACGCAAAAAAGAUUCGCUUUGCACUCCUCCUCCUCUCUCGCUCUGUUUCUCUCCAAAAUGCAAUCUUCCCAUCUGUUUUCCCUCUCUCAAAUCACUCUCUUUCUCUACUUCACAAAUCUCUCUGUUUCCUUCUCUCAAAUCACUCUUUCACUACUUCACAAAUCUCUGUUUCCUUCUCUCAAAUCACUCUUUCACUACUUCACAAAUCUCUCUGUUUCCUUCUCUCUCUGCCUCCCUGUCCCUUCUCUCACCCCAUAUGACUUUAUAAAGGUUACAGACUGAAGCACGCCCAUCAACCCUGGAAAAUUAUGAAAAACAUGACUACUACAAAAAGGUUUAACUCUUUACUCAAGCUAUCAUAAUAAGCAGUUAGAGUUACUCAUGCCCUGAAGUUACUCAUGUCCUGUAGGCCAAGCUGUGUGAGUUACUCAUGUCCUGUAGGCCAAGCUGUGUGAGUUACUCAUGUCCUGUAGUUACUCAUGUCCUGUAGGCCAAGCUGUGUGAGUUACUCAUGUCCUGUAGUUACUCAUGUCCUGUAGGCCAAGCUGUGUGACUUACUCAUAUCAAUGUAGUUACUCAUGUCCUGUAGGCCAAGCUGUGUGACUUACUCAUGUCAGUGUAGUUACUCAUGUCCUGUAGGCCAAGCUGUGUGUUACUCAUGUCCUGUAGGCCAAGCUGUGUGAGUUACUCAUGUCCUGUAGGCCAAGCUGUGUGACUUACUCAUGUCCUGUAGGCCAAGCUGUGUGAGUUACUCAUGUCCUGUAGGCCAAGCUGUGUGAGUUACUCAUGUCCUGUAGGCCAAGCUGUGUGAGUUACUCAUGUCCUGUAGGCCAAGCUGUGUGAGUUACUCAUGUCCUGUAGGCCAAGC
rnacentral:lncRNA from 1 species